rnacentral:tRNA from 1 species
UCCUGUGUGGCUCAGUUGGUAGAGCAUGGUGCUUGCUACGCUCAGAGUUGUGGGUUCAAUUCCCACGUGGGAC